UCCUGACCUCAGAACUCCUACAUAGGCUGCAGUGGAAUGCAAGUCACCCUCAGAUCCUGUACAGGCUACAGUGGAAUGCAAGUCACCUGCCCUCAGAUCCUA